rnacentral:rRNA from 1 species
CAGUAGCCGCGGUAAUACGAAGGGGGCUAGCGUUGUUCGGAUUUACUGGGCGUAAAGGGCGCGUAGGCGUACUGAUAAGUCAGGGGUGAAAUCCCAAGGCUCAACCUUGGAACUGCCUUUGAUACUGUUUGUCUUGAGUUCGAGAGAGGUAAGUGGAACUGCGAGUGUAGAGGUGAAAUUCGUAGAUAUUCGCAAGAACACCAGUGGCGAAGGCGGCUUACUGGCUCGAAACUGACGCUGAGGCGCGAAAGCGUGGGGAGCAAACAGGAUUAGAUACCCGCGUAGUCCCUGUCUCUUAUAU